GGGCUUCAGGCAGUACAUGUACUAAAAAAUUGGAACGAUACAGAGAAGAUGAGCAUGGCCCCUGCGCAAGGAUGACACGCAAAUUCGAAAGUCGGUGGAGUUUCGU